rnacentral:lncRNA from 1 species
AAACACAUAGUUUUUAUACUUGUUCGACCACAAUGCCUACAUUUAGUGUCCUUCCACAACUAGGAAGCCAAUGCACUAUAUUAGUCAAGGUUUUUACACAAGAUUUCUAUAUAAACCUCCACGUCAAAAUAUAGACAAUCUCUCUAACCCUCUAACUAAAAGUAUAGGCAACAACACAAAGAUCUGCAACAAGAUAUCCCCUCUUCUUCAAUCUUCAACCCACUUUGAACAAUCCUCAAAGUGUACAGAACUCUACGUUCUCUUCCUGUAAUCCCAAAGGGCAGUCCAAUCUUCAUUAGAUUAAUAAGUCUUGAUCAAUAUGAUGAACACCAACAGUGCAGAAUUUGAUCAACCAGUAAUCACAUAAUUCUUCCUCGUAAAGACACUCUUCAAAGAAAUAUCUCCUCCAUCUUCUUGAUGAGUUCUUGGAGCGUUUUUCACAAAGAUCACAAUCUGAAACAACAAAUGAAAACUUUAGAUAAACCAAAGUCUCAUUCACUCUGUGAAUUACAGAAUCACGUCUAUUUAUAGAUUUCUAUGAAACAGAGACUCCUGUAGUCGACUUUGCCACUAAUGUAGUCGACUUUCAUCAGACAAUUAUAACAGUUAAAACAGUUAGCAGCAGUCAUAACAAAUAAAUUGAUUACGAAUUUAACUCAAUUGACUUGCAUUUAAUGCUUUAGCAUAAAAUUGAAAUAUAACCGUUAUAAAACAAAAGCAUUAACAAAAUUUCAAAACAUAUAACUAACUAAGUCGAAUUCACUGCGCAUGCAGUCGACUUUAACACUUCAAAACAAUUUUGAAAAACUUUUCAUUUCAAAAUUAUUCACAACACAGUUUUAGAAAAUUUGUUCAAAGUCACGAGUCUUAAUCGACUUACUUCAUAAUGAAGUCGACUUAANACUUGCAGUUUUGCCACACAAUAUAAGUUCAACAAAGUGCAUGUGGUUUUCUUUUCAGAAGCAUAUGUAAUGCAAUCACAAGUUAUGUAUCAAGUAUUAAAUCAGUGAAUAUGCAUACAUAUAUGAGAAUCAACACAAACAUGUUCUUUCAAUAUAUCAUUCACAAUAAAGAAUGGAACAUGUAACGCAUAACAAUACAUAUGUUAUUAAUAAUGUGUUGUCAUCAUAAAAAACUAGAACUCUGUGAGAUUAAGGUUUAACUAAACCAGUGUUUCCCUUAUCAACAAUCUCAACACCUGUCAUGUUGGUUAUUUAUGAUGACAACACAUUGAUAAUAAAAACACAUGAAUGUUGUCAUGUCACAACAAAAUGUUUUUGUAUUGUGUUGUAUGGUUAAUAUGUACAUGCUUACUGUGACAUAUGCACAUAUUGUAUUUGUCACAUUUGUUAACAUAUUGUGUUGAUUGAUGCAUACUAUUGUGUUUGUAAAGUGAUUAUAUCUAUGUAUGCACAAUGUAUGUUUUGGUUAUAUAAAAACCACAUGCACAAAAGCAUAUCUAAAUGACUUAAUGAUGAGUGUCGCCGCCCAAUCAAAUUUGAUUGCAAUUAGGUAUGCAGUAUAGACUAGGAAGUGACUCCUAGGUCGUCUCUCAAGGACCAAUUGUGGUUCAAAUCUUAGGUCUAACACGAAGGGGGGUUAAAGGUGUUUGAAAUGAUAAUUAAACUAAAUUAAAUCAUGAAAAUUAAACAUAACUAAACAGAAUUGAAAGUAUUAAAGUAAAUGUGGAAAACGGUAAAUUGAACCAUCCUAGAGAUAAAUAUCCAAACGCAAGUUAAGACUAUUAAAAUGCAAUGCUUGAGCUAAAAAGUGAAAUGCUCAAUGUAAAUUCAACAUGAAAAUUAUAAGAAAAAUCACCACCGGUUCAAGCAUAAAGGCAUGACAACAACAGCUUCUAGAAUUGAAAGAGCAUCUUCUCCUAAGCUAGACGCUAGAACCGAAUGCAUAUUCCAAACUGAAUGAAAACUAAAUCAACGUUUUUUUUUCCUUCAAGAAAAGAUAAUGUUCGCUCCUAAAAUUAAUCACCGCAUGUUCCCUCUUGCUCGACGUGACCCAAAAUAAAAAUGAAAUGCUAUGCUGGAUGCUACAAUGUGAAUGUUAGCUUUGUGCUUGAAUAAACUAAAAUUCAAUUCAAAAAAAAAAAAAAUUGCUAAAACCGUAACAGCAUGCUUCCUUUCUCCCAAUGAAUUUAUUUAAAGAAAGAUAAACAUAAAAAAAAUGAUGGAAUCAAAAUCAUUUAAAGUAAAAGGAAAGAUAAACGUAACUUUUUUGGAAUUAACAGUGAUGGAAUCAAAAUCAUUUAAAGUAAAAAUGCUAUACCAUUUCUUUUUUUUUUUAAUUGGAAAUAAAAAAACACAUUUAACGCUUUUCUAGAAUAAAAUAAAACUUCAAUAUAAAAGUGCUCGAAACCAAAAUGAAAUGCAGUAAAUCCAAUCGUGAGUGUAAUAUAAAAGAAGGCUUUUUGAAUGAAUCAGCGUGUGUGAUUUGAUGUGUAAGGCAGCAUGAAAGCUGCAACAAAGCAAUUGCACCUCCUUUUUCUUCAAUGAAAUCAGCGUCAAAGUGUAUUGUUGGCAAGGAGAGAAACGUUCCAGCAAAGAAAGCUUAAAAGCAAGUAAUGGAAACUUAAAAGCAAGUGGUUGGAUAUUUACAUUCAACCGGAAUCAAAAACUGUUAUCAUGGUUCAAAGAAAA